rnacentral:rRNA from 1 species
UACGUAGGCAGCGAGCGUUUGUUCGGAGUUACUGGGCGUAAAGGGUGUGUAGGCGGUUGUUUAAGUUUGGUGUGAAAUCUCCCGGCUCAACUGGGAGGGUGCGCCGAAUACUGAAUGACUCGAGUGGCGGGAGAGGAGAGUGGAAUUCCUGGUGUAGCGGUGAAAUGCGUAGAUAUCAGGAGGAACACCGGCGGUGUAGACGGCUCUCUGGACCGUAACUGACGCUGAGACACGAAAGCGUGGGUAGCAAACAGG